rnacentral:rRNA from 1 species
GAGUUUGAUCGUGGCUCAGGAUGAACGCUGGCGGCGUGCCUAAUACAUGCAAGUCGAGCGAACGGACGAGAAGCUUGCUUCUCUGAUGUUAGCGGCGGACGGGUGAGUAACACGUGGAUAACCUACCUAUAAGACUGGGAUAACUUCGGGAAACCGGAGCUAAUACCGGAUAAUAUUUUGAACCGCAUGGUUCAAAAGUGAAAGACGGUCUUGCUGUCACUUAUAGAUGGAUCCGCGCUGCAUUAGCUAGUUGGUAAGGUAACGGCUUACCAAGGCAACGAUGCAUAGCCGACCUGAGAGGGUGAUCGGCCACACUGGAACUGAGACACGGUCCAGACUCCUACGGGAGGCAGCAGUAGGGAAUCUUCCGCAAUGGGCGAAAAGCCUGACGGAGCAACGCCGCGUGAGUGAUGAAGGUCUUCGGAUCGUAAAACUCUGUUAUUAGGGAAGAACAUAUGUGUAAGUAACUGUGCACAUCUUGACGGUACCUAAUCAGAAAG